AUACGGGACUCAUCCGAGGCCCCGUAAUCGGAAUGAGUACACUCUAAACCCUUUAACGAGGAUCAAUUGGAGGGCAAGUCUGGUGCCAGCAGCCGCGGUAAUUCCAGCUCCAAUAGCGUAUAUUAAAGUUGUUGCGGUUAAAAAGCUCGUAGUCGAAUUUGUGUCCCGCGCCGCCGGUUCAUCGCUCGCGGUGUUAACUGGCGUGUCCGCGGGACGUCCUGCCGGUGGGCUUAGCUCCUCGCGGGCGGCCCAAUCUCAAUCCCACCGCGGUGCUCUUCACUGAGUGUCGAGGUGGGCCGGCACGUUUACUUUGAACAAAUUAGAGUGCUUAAAGCAGGCUAAAAUAUCGCCUGAAUACUGUGUGCAUGGAAUAAUGGAAUAGGACCUCGGUUCUAUUUUGUUGGUUUUCGGAACCCCGAGGUAAUGAUUAAUAGGAACGGAUGGGGGCAUUCGUAUUGCGACGUUAGAGGUGAAAUUCUUGGAUCGUCGCAAGACGGACAGAAGCGAAAGCAUUUGCCAAAAACGUUUUCAUUGAUCAAGAACGAAAGUUAGAGGUUCGAAGGCGAUCAGAUACCGCCCUAGUUCUAACCAUAAACGAUGCCAGCUAGCGAUCCGUCGACGUUCCUCCGAUGACUCGACGGGCAGCUUCCGGGAAACCAAAGCUUUUGGGAUCCGGGGGAAGUAUGGUUGCAAAGCUGAAACUUAAAGGAAUUGACGGAAGGGCACCACCAGGAGUGGAGCCUGCGGCUUAAUUUGACUCAACACGGGAAACCUCACCAGGCCCGGACACCGGAAGGAUUGACAGAUUGAGAG
rnacentral:rRNA from 1 species